GACGAACGCUGGCGGCGUGCUCAACACAUGCAAGUCGAACGAAGUGGCGAACGGGUGAGUACUACGUGAGUAACCUGCCCUCCUUUUUGGGAUAAGCCUUGGAAACGGGGUCUAAUACCGAAUAAAGGGGGAUGGGCUCGCGGCCUAUCAGCUUGUUGGUGGGGUGAUGGCCUACCAAGGCGGUGACGGGGAGCCGGCCUGAGGGGGUGACCGGCCGCAUUGGAACUGAGAUACGGCCCAAACUCGUACGGGAGGCAGCAGUGGGGGAUAUUGCACAAUGAGCGAAAACGUGAUUCAGCGACGCCGCGUGGGGGAUGAGGGCUUUCGGGUUGUAAACCUCUAUCGCUAUCGAACGGGUAGGUAGGGAAGAAGCGCCGGCUGACUACGUGCCGGAAGCCGAGGUAAUUC
rnacentral:rRNA from 1 species